rnacentral:rRNA from 1 species
GACGAACGCUGGCGGCGUGCUUAACACAUGCAAGUCGAACGGAGCUUCUUGGAUAGAGACUUCGGUCAAUUGAAUGGAAGCUUAGUGGCGGACUGGUGAGUAACGCGUGAGGAACCUGCCUUUCAGAGGGGGACAACAGUUGGAAACGACUGCUAAUACCGCAUGACACAUUUGGGUGGCAUCACCUGAAUGUCAAAGAUUAUAUCGCUGAAAGAUGGCCUCGCGUCUGAUUAGCUAGUUGGUAGGGUAACGGCCUACCAAGGCGACGAUCAGUAGCCGGACUGAGAGGUUGAUCGGCCACAUUGGGACUGAGAUACGGCCCAG